UCCCAGGACACAAAAGGGAUCCAUGGCUUCCAUAGGUUCGGUGGUACAGGCCCAAAUAACAUCAGAAGCCAGCACACUCUUGAUCCCUGCAUAUUUCCAAAGUUGCUUCCUGGCAGGAGACAUAGUGUAAAUGUGCUUGGUGGCCCUUGGGAAGAUCCAAAACGCAAUUCUCCAGAACCCAUUUUCUGAGUCUUCAGUGUCUGACCUCCUCCACUGCUACUCUGAUGUUCAACAGGUCAACAGUGGUGGCACAUGCCUGUGAUCCCAGCACUUCGGAGGCUGAGGCAGGAGGAUCACUGCGAGUUCAAGGCCAGUCCAGGCUCUCCAGUGAGUUCAAAGCCAACCUGUCUCAAAAAACAAAGAAUUUUUGAGACAUAUAUUAAUAGUUUAAAUUUACUGAGAUGUGUAACAGUGCCUAGGUAUAAUGAAAAGUAUUUCCUGUGAAUGUAAAUGUUAAAUGUGGGAAUUCUAAAGAGCCGGUCAUGAUGACACAUGCCUGUAAUCCCUGCACUCUGGGAGGCUGACAGAAGGAUCAAGGCUGAUUCCCAUUGGGCAAUUUAACAAGGCUUCUUCUCAAAACUAGAAAUAGAAAAAGGGCUGCAGCCCAGAGCGCUGUCCCAGAGCCACUGUGUUUCUGUCCUUGCAUUUUUCUUGCCUACUCCCUUAGGUGUGUGAGGAUUUCACUUUUCUAACUCAGUUGGAGCACUCCAAUCGUUAGACCUGGCUUCUCAGGUAUCAAAAGAGCACUGUUCCUUAUUAGAACAGAAGUGCGGAGCUCAGGGCGAGGUCCCGGGUCACUUCCUUCCAACACCUUUGUGCCUCUAGGCUUUGUCAUCUCCUCGUUUGUAAAACAACAGCAGCAGUAUAGGCCCUUGGGAAGAAAGGUCCUCAUGAUGAUUUUGUCCCAGGAAAGCACAGCCCGGGCUCUUCCUUAUCCUGAGAGGAGGGGUACUCCUGGGUGCUGACACCAGGCCCUGCAGUGGGGGAUGGGCUCCCGCUGCGUGCUGCCGCCGUGUUGAACAGAAGUGGGACCGCCCGGCAGGUGCCACCCUGGUCUCCUGGUCUCCGUCCUGCUGCUGUCACCGGUGUUGCUUCCAGGACUGCAACAGCAGGGCUCGAAGGGUAACUGACGGACGGACGCCCAGUGAGAAGCAGGGCCCUGCUCGCGCAGCUCUGUGCGCUGCAUUGGGAAUUCUGUGCAGCCGGCCAAUCAGAAGCGCGAGUCAGCCCGGAGGGGCGGGGCUGCGGGUCUGUGGGGUGAGCGGGCUUGUGCCUCGGUUUUUGUGAUUCUUCUUUCAAACACAGCAGGAAUCAGAGGAUUCUAGAUGCCAUAUGAAAAGCAGUAACACAAGCUGUAAGAUCUUACAAGUAUUACAUGUGUUGUGGGUAAGAGGAAACAAACUUCCUGUUAACGAGAGCUUCUGUAGUGAAAAGCAUGUUAGUGGGAUUAGCUAUGUAGCUCAGGGGUAGGGCGUUUUGCCUAGCGUGUAUGAGGACUUGGACUCAAUCCCCAAUACCACCCCAAAAAAUCUCUUUUAUGACACCCGUGCCUCUCAUCCCAGCACUCGGGGAGGCUGAGGCAAGAGGAUCACUGUGAGUUCCAGUCCAGCCUGGGCCACAUAUACACACGUAUAUAUGAUAGUAGAUUCUUACAUAUUCCAGGUCAGGUUGUAGCAUGAAGAGUGGGGUUCCCGAACAAAGCACUCCCACAUGCAGUGGGAGAAAGUGGCUUUAUAUGCCAGUGGCUUUGCAAGGGACUCACCUCUCCCUGCAAAAGCCCUGAGCUCAGCUUACAUUUUUACAUUUUACAUUUUACUUUUUACAUUUUUACACCUUUGGGCUGUGCCAUGUUAAGUAAGCACGGAAAGACUGACCUUCAGUGAAAGCAGAGGUGACAUAGAACUUCAAGUGGAAUUUAUCUUUAAAUUUAUUUCCAUCUCUCUGUUAUCUUAAGACCCAAGAACUCAACUCUUGGUCAUAGUUAGAUCCUCAUUUAGGUUAGGAAUGAACAAAAAGAAAACACCUGCAGAUCUUAACUGAAAUCAAAUGCAAGUUUGUCCUUAUAGCUAGACAGGAUAGUUAUGUGCAAGUCAAAUUGUAAUUUAUUAUCACUGCUGCAACAUACGAGAAACCAGAAAGAAACCUGGUUUCGAAACAUAAAAGAGGUUAAGGCAGAGCUGAGGACUUAGCUCAGUGGCAUAAAUACCUGCCCGGCAAGCACAAGAUUGUGAGUUCAAUUCCCAGUGCAAAAAAGGAAAAGAAACAUAAAAGAAAAUAUUCUUUGGCAACUUCUUAAAUUCUGUUUUACAUAUUUCUUAUUCUUAUAUUUCCUUACAUUUGGAAAUUGUAUAAUACAGAGGACCCAUUUCUUUGUUGUCCUGAAUAAGAGCUUGCCAGUUUUGAUAAAUAAAAAUUUCAUAGUCUUAUUUGCAUUUUAAGUUAAGUACAUAGUAAAUGCAUUUGGUUGUUAGUAUGUCUCAAGUUAUUCAUUAAUUAUCUAACACUCAAGUUUAGCUGGGUAACUUAUGAUUCCUGGUAACUUUACCUAAGUAGGAGGAUUUGGAAGCCCAAGGCCUGAUCAGCUGAUUCUACGCAGGCUUCAUUUAGAGGCAUAAGACCCGGAGUUUCCAGUCUCAUACCCUUUAGUCUCUUGAGUUAGAUCUACUUCCUUGUUCAUCUUCUGACGUCUCCCCCGGAUUUCAGUGCAGUUGGCAAAACUGCUGCAGUACAUCCUCCUGGAAGAUACGGGCUGUACUAAGAGGAAAUCCGGCAGUUUUUGGUUCUGCUUUUCUGGCAGGUGAAAGUCACUGUCCUGGCUGCUAACAACCCCAGCUCUCAGUUCCACUACCUCAUUCAGGUCCACCUUGGGUACGGAAGAAGGGCUGCCCCAAAGCUACGGUCAGUAGCAUCCUGCACAUUGCUUUGUGCCUCCUUCCACUGGGACUCAUGGUAACCUGGUGAUAUCUCAGUGUCCAAUGGCACUUAAAAUAAGGAUCACAGACCUGGGUGUGGUGGGGCAUGCGUGUAAUCCCAGUACUCUGGCAGGCUGAGAUAGGAGCAUCACAAGUUUGAACCCAACCCGGGCAAUUAAGUGAGAUCUUGUUUCAAAAUAAAAAACACAAAAAGUCGCUUAUGUAACCCAGGAUAAGAACUUGGAUUCAAUCCCAAUAUAGAAAAAAUCACAAAGAUUAGUAUUCUCUGGUUGUAAAUUUUAACUGUGAAGAGUGAUCUGUCCUUGUCUGAGAUUUCAAAAAUGUCAUCCAAGUACAGAUUUGUGUGUCUUCGCCUUUCUCCUUUGGAAUAAACCUAAAGAAUUAAGUAAAACUUUUCCAUACUUUCUUUUUUUAAUUUUACUUAAAGAAAGACUAAACAAAACAGAAAAUAGGUAGAAAUAAUACAUACAUUCAGAGAAAAAAAUAAACAAUAAGAAAUCACUAAUUGAUGUUUACAUAUUGGUGCAAGAAUGGAACAUGUAAAGUGGGGAUUCAAACAGUGAGGCUGCAAACAGUUCUGUUCAAUUGUCCAACAAAAACUUAGUAACAUUGUUAUCAAUCCUAUACACUUAAACAUACAUGCAGUUAUCCAUAUCUUCAUUUAUGUUUAGAUUAAACAAACUAAAGCAGGUUAAAAUCAUUCUGAACAAAGAAUAAUAGUAUUGCUGGAUUUCACAUCAUGAUACUGCAUGAUCAGCACUAGAUACUGUAGUGUCUUUUUUUAAAAUUUAAUUUAAAGGAAGACUAAAAACAGAAAACAGGUAAAAAUAAUACAUAAUUUCAAAGAAAAAAUAAACAGUAAGAAAUCACUAGUUGAUGAUUAUAGAUUGUCUUCUUACAAAUAGUUAUUCAAGAUACUAAAGUGGAGCAUAUAAAGUGGGGAUUCAAACAGUGAGAUUGCAACCAGUUCUGUGCAACUAUCCAACAAAAACUUAGAAAUAUGGUUAUCAAUCCUGUGCACUUAAACAUACAUGCAGUAUCCAUAUCUUCAAUUAUGUUGAGACUGAAUAAACCCAAGCAGGCUAAUAUCACUCUGAACAAAGAAUAAUACUAUUGCUGGGUUUCACAUUAUGACACUCCAGGAUCAGCACUGGGUAUUUUAGUGUCUUUUUUUUCCUUAAAAGUAUCUGUUUAUUUCAUCAUAUGUCAUAAGAUCAGUUGUCAUAAACUGUUUAUAGAUUCUACACAUGCAUGAGUCUUAAUGUGUAUUUCCUUUCUAUAUUGGAGAAAUAAAACAAAGCAAGACAAAACAAAGCAUAUUCCUAUAAACGCAUGAAAUGAAACAAACAUAUAAGACCGUUGUACAAAGAGUUCUACCAUGGUUCCUGUGUUGUCUCUUGUUAUCUCCAAUAAAGUUGGCUAUAUCAUCA